UGGGGAAUCUUGGACAAUGGGGGCAACCCUGAUCCAGCCAUGCCGCGUGAGUGAUGAAGGCCCUAGGGUCGUAAAGCUCUUUCGCCUGUGAAGAUAAUGACGGUAGCAGGUAAAGAAACCCCGGCUAACUCCGUGCCAGCAGCCGCGGUAAUACGGAGGGGGUUAGCGUUGUUCGGAAUCACUGGGCGUAAAGGGCGCGUAGGCGGCUGUUUAAGUCGAGGGUGAAAGCCCGGGGCUCAACCCCGGAACGGCCUUCGAGACUGGGCAGCUCGAGACCGGAAGAGGAGGGUGGAAUACCCAGUGUAGAGGUGAAAUUCGUAGAUAUUGGGUGGAACACCAGUGGCGAAAGCGGCUCUCUGGUCCGGAUCUGACGCUGAGGCGCGAAAGCGUGGGGAGCAAACAGGAUUAGAUACCCGGGUAGUCC
rnacentral:rRNA from 1 species